UACGAAGGGGGCUAGCGUUGUUCGGAUUUACUGGGCGUAAAGCGCACGUAGGCGGAUCGUUAAGUCGGGGGUGAAAUCCUGGAGCUCAACUCCAGAACUGCCUUCGAUACUGGCGAUCUUGAGUCCGGAAGAGGUGAGUGGAACUCCUAGUGUAGAGGUGGAAUUCGUAGAUAUUAGGAAGAACACCAGUGGCGAAGGCGGCUCACUGGUCCGGUACUGACGCUGGGGCACGAAAGCGUGGGGAGCGAACAGG
rnacentral:rRNA from 1 species